rnacentral:misc_RNA from 1 species
UACUCGCUCAGGUUCAGUCUCCGGCGAAGACCUCGUGGCACGCAUAUUAUAUCGUCGUCAGUCAUUUCGCGGCACCGGUUAGCGGUACUACGGUCGUACUCGUGUGUGUACGUGCGUUAUUGUGUUUACAACUGGUAACCCGCGUCUUAACGGCGACCUGACUACGUGAAUUAUCGUUAUUUUACUCGAUUUUAGGAUUUUAUUUCCACCUACACCGUCGAACGAUAUCGCGACGAAUCUGCUGUGUAACUAUACACCACGCAGCGGCCAUCGAGGACCGUCCACUGGCCACCGUAGAAUAGGAGCUGAACAACAAUUUGAAAGACACUGAAUAAAAAAAAAUACAAACGCAUCAUCACAUAGGAUGAGGUUUCGAUCGUCGGUUUAACACGCAGCGGACUGCAGAGAGCGAGGCUGAGACGCGUCGUCGUGCCCUGGUCCAUCAGAACGCCGCCGCAAAGCCGGACAGCCACGCGCCGAAGCGAUGGGCAACUCGAACAGUCACGGCAGCAGCACAUCGUACGCGACAGGCGGCGACACGAUACCGCCGCACUCGUGGGCGUACUCAUUUCCGCGGUCACAGUACUUCAGGCAACCGAUCACCGGGCCUAAAGUACUGCCAGCGCACUUGCCGGGCCAACAACGGCCGCGGCUCAGGGCCACCGAAAACGGGUCCAUGCUGCACGUGGCAGGCACCAUAAACGGUAAACGGCCGUACGAUUAUUCGCACCGGGACGACAUCCAACAUGGAUAUGGAUACGAUAUUCAAAGACACGUACCUAGGGAUGGAAGACGAGAUCGUAUGGGGUACAAUAUGUAUACCAGCGAACCAGACUUACGGUUUUCAGACUCCCGCCAACUACCACCAAUGGGUUACAAUCAUCAUCACAAUCACGGAGACAAUGGAGCUGUCAAGGGCAGGAUGUCCCGUUCUAAAAAGAAGUACAGAGCUCCUCAAGUGCCUCCAUCUUCGUCGCAUCAUAAUGGAAUGGACAGCUCUUCGCCUGACUCGUAUCAACAUUGGGAAAACCACAGGGAUAAUAGUAGAUCUAGUCAAAACAAUGGUAUGCCAAGAUUGAGGUUAUUUAAGACUAGAGCUGAGACAAAACAUAAGCUCAGUAGAGACGAAUUAAAAAACGCAGAGUUUCAGCCUGAAGUUAAACCACAACCUAGCAAUCUACAUCGAAGCAUGUCUUCCCCUCAAUUUCAAGCUGAAUUGAAACGUGUGACAGAAAGGCUGAGAGAAAAAGAAUUCCGUCAUCCGCCCGUUGGCCGCGCUUCGGAGAGCUCGUCCAAUCAGGCCUCCGAGGAACGGGCAGCGGUUGUGGUCGCUGACAGUGACAAAAACCGCGAGAGCCCGGUGAACUCGAACAGACAACGAUUAAUGGCCGACCGGGCCAAACGGAUGUCCAGGUCGAUACCGAAUCUCGCUACAAAAGUACAAGAAGACGAUGACGUCCGAUGCACGGGCGAGGGUUCGUCAGCCACGGGUUCCAACGACGAGAACAAGAUCCAUGAUAAGAAAGCAAAUCCGAAAACAAGCGUGCCAGAUAUUAAGCCGAAAACAUUCUAUUUCGGUAUGAACGAGUUCAACGAUACGACAAAGACCAGUAGAACCUCUGAAGACGUUGAUCGAUUCGCUGAGAGCUUUAAUAAAACGAACGCUUCGCCUUCUGAUAGCAUUGCUAGCAGUGACCCAACAGACGAGAGUGGUGGUGACAUAUCUCUUCAACUAAGACCUACACUUCCAAGAAAACAGUUUGACAUCCCUAGAUUUAGUCCAACAGCUGCUUGGCGCUUGCUUACUGCUUUAGAAAGUCCUUCACCAGUUAGUCCUAAUUGUAGCGGUGGAGAGGAAGAUUUAAUACCAAUUAUAGAUCAACCUCAUAAUUCCGGUGAUAAAUCUGGAGAUAGUGGUAUUUCUGGAGAUGCUAGUCCUAAUUCAGCCCAUAAUUCACAGGUUGCUUGGACUCCACAGCAAGACUUAGAAGAAACAAGUUCAGAUGGAGGAUUGGAGGAUUCAGCACCAGUUUCACCUCAAAGUUUGGAUACCACACAAUUUUCAAGAACUCGUACAGUCGCUAAGCCAAGUUUCUGUCUAUCCCUACCCAGAGAUGAAAGUACAGGAAUUGAUAAAAGAUAUGGACAAUUAAAUGAAGAUUUUUCACCAAUGAACCCACCCAAAUCUAGUGGUUACUUCAAAUCUAAAUUAAAUAGAGGAAAAGCAUCGACAGAUAGAAACAAAUCACAGCUGGAUGAAAACUGGGUAUUGAGUAGAAGUGUACCAGAUUCAUUGCAUCAAUCAGGUUUAGUUGGCAAUUUUCCAUCACAAAACUGGAGUCAGUUAGAAUGUCAAAAUGGAGAUGAACCUUCUGAUGAAGAAUUAGCUAUGUCAUCUUUACCAAAGUUUUCAUAUUUAGCUGCAGGCAGACGAGCUAUGUAUUUGCCAGAAUAUAAAUCAUUGAACUAUUUAUAUCAAAAGGAUAUAAAAAAUGUGCCUGAAAAUAAAGCCAUUGUAUCAAAGUCAUGUGAGGACCUCACAAGAGACGACCUGGAUGAUGAAGAGUUACCAGUCAUAAAUGAAAGAACAAAACAACAAAAAUCAACGAGUAAAAAGUUUGCAUUUCAAAGUACAAUAAGACAAAUUGAACGAAAGAAAAUAGCUGAAAAAUUAUCAAAAGAAGCAGAGUACAAAGAACGCCAGAGACUCAGUGAAAUGGAGGCUAUGCGUCGAGUGGAAGAAGAGUUUCAACGAAAACGAGAAAGAGAAAAAGCAGAUAUUCGACAACAGUUGAGACUGUACACUUUAACACAAGGUGAUAGAGAACCAGCACAACCUCUCCCUUCUGGUACUCAAGUACUCUCUGAAUUUCGGGAGUCAAGGCGCGACUACAAAGAUUUUAAUUCUUCCAGAGUUGAACAUGAACCCAAUAAUCGUUCAGAAACUCCAGUAAAAAAAUCAACAACUGUGCAUCCAAAAGUUGUAUAUCAAAUGCCCAAAAGUACUCCGGUGUAUGUGACACCAAAUACUGUACGUAAGCAAUGCAAUGGAACUGAAAAAGGAUCAUCAACACCAACAUCUGGUAACUACAGAAGAGACUUUGCUCAAGGGGCCCUACCACAUUCUGUGGCAAGUUCAGACUCAGAAGUGUCUGUGUCGAUUACUCGACCAACUUCACGUACAAAGCACAGAAGCAGGUUUUAGCAAGUAUAUGGAGCUCGGGAUUAAGUGUGUAUUCUAGUCAACAAAUAUUCAAGUCACCAUUUAACCAAUAUAGAUCAGCCAGUCCAAUAUCUGACCGAGAAAACAAUGACAUUGGAAUAAAUCUUGAUUAUAUACAUAUCAUAAAAAGCUUAAAGCAAAAACAAAAUAACGAAACAGAAUUAAAUGAAGUUACCAAU